UACGUAGGUGGCAAGCGUUAUCCGGAAUUAUUGGGCGUAAAGCGCUCGCAGGCGGUUUCUUAAGUCUGAUGUGAAAGCCCACGGCUUAACCGUGGAGGGUCAUUGGAAACUGGGAGACUUGAGUGCAGAAGAGGAGAGUGGAAUUCCACGUGUAGCGGUGAAAUGCGUAGAGAUGUGGAGGAACACCAGUGGCGAAAGCGGCCACCUGGACUGUACCUGACGCUCAAACACGAAAGCUAGGGGAGCGAACGGG
rnacentral:rRNA from 1 species